UCAAGGUAUAGGCAAUACUACUAAAGUUGGAUCCAAACUUGUUUUGGUUUUGGGUACUUGAAACAGAGAACCAAUCCAUACCAGGUCCACAAUGUGAAUAUAUGCACGUGGGGAGUUACUGCAGGACUAAUGCCUCCUGAAUAGCAACUGGUAAGAAAGCUUAUAAAAGUGAGAAGGACUUGGGGGCUCUCAGUGCUGAAGUCACAGGUGGGUAUGCCAUAUGGGUAAAUGAUACCAUGAUAGCUCUUCCUCCAGGAAUGUUUUUGAUACGUGGUGAAAAAAAAGCUAACGUAGCUACUGAUAUUCUAGAAAAAAUGCUAGUAGAUCAAAAUAGCUCAAGGCACGCACUGAUACAAAAUCAUGCAGCAGUCGAUUUUCUGCUUUUAGCACAAGGUCAUGGGUGUGAAGAUUUCGAAGGUAAGUGUUACAUGAAUCUCUCAGGCCAUGCUGAAUCUAUACACAAAAGCACACGAUGGUUAAAGGAGCACACUAAUAAAAUCCAGCAAGAAGUUAGCCCCUGAGAUGAUUGGCUUAGAAAUAUGUUUGGGGACAUUCCAUUGUGGCUCUGUGAAUGUAUUAAGGAAGGCCUAAGAAUUCUCUUUUUGAUUUUAGUAAUAUUGAUUUGUAGUUGCAUUAUUUACUCUUGUGUUAAACAGGGCCUGUGUAAAAGUUCAGAUCAAGGCUGGGUUGCUCAAAAAGAAAAAGGGGGAAUUGUGGAUGGAUUUCUUGCUGACAGAGGACAUGAUUUGAUAAACAUGAGCAACCUGUCCUUGGAGCUCAUCUUGGAGGCAGGAACUAAGGCGAUGAAACAGCCCCCACAUUCAGCUGAAAGGGGGCAGGAUCUGCUGACUGCAAGAGGCUGGCCCUGUAAAUGUUUGUUUAAGCCUUAACCUAUUUGUGCCUUACGAAUGGCCUUAAACCUAUAUGUGCCUUCCACAUGUACCAAUCUUAAUUAAGCUAGCUGAAUACACCUCUUCUAUGUUUGGCAUAGAAGACACUGUAUCACCGCAAUAAGGGGAGGACAAUUUUAACCACGUUGGUAUGAUGUUGUUACUCUGGCUGCGACCUUUCACCAACAGAGGGACCAUCAAAUUCUUCACGGACUUUGUGAAGAAACAAUUCUAUGGACUUAAAACAGGCAUAAGAGAGAACAGCUAAAUGUCUCUGUUCUUCCAGGGUUGGUAUUCACUCCCAAAACGUAAUAUGCCAGUCCCUAGCUUCUGCCCAGUGCCCUGUACCAAACCUGUCUUUCUAUCCACAGCAAGUCUCUGGGUACAGUACGCCCAUCCGUCAAGACAUCUCAAAGUCAGAAAGCCAUGCCUGCAAGCAGGGAGGGGCCUAGAAAGGAUAAGCCUUCACUUCACUAGACUUACAGGGGAAGCGACAUCUCAUCCAGUGGUAACAGGACACAAGCAGUUACUCACUAAAAGAAGACAGCAAAAAUGGCUUUGACAGCACAGGAGCCGUCUGGGAUUGCAGCUAAUUGCAAUGUGAAUGACUUGGAGAAAGUUAAGCAUCAUAUUGUGAUCCUUUAAGAAAUCUGCUGGGAAUCUGAAAUGAAAGUCUGAGAUCACUGAAGAGAAGAGGCAUUUUGACUUCAGUGGGCAUCUCUCCUUGGGUUUUAAGCAAGAAUAUAAGACAUACUUUCAGGUUAUGUUUUUAUAAAUUAUUGGACAAAAGACAGACAACAAAAUUAUGCACCUCUGAAAUCAAGGUGAAACCUGUAUUUUCCCUUCUGACAUCUGUGGCGUACAUGCUUUCUGUGACCCAGGAGAUGAUGAAGACACAGUUGUUGAUGUUGCUGCUGCUGCUGCUGCCAGUGCUGGAGGAAGGUCAUCUUCAUCACUGUCGUUGAUAAAAGCAGACAGACCUUCUCAUUAGGAAAUGCCACCAGACUCUAACCACGUGCUGGAGGAAACACUGGUAACCUGUAUGUCAGCUGUAGUCCUCUGGAAUGAAGUUCUGUUUACUCUUGCAUCUGUAAUGCAGCUAACUUUUCAAUUAAAUUAGAUUUUUUAUGUUUUAAAGAUUCCUUAAGAGUGGAUUGGCUAAGUAAUUCUCAUCAGUAAAUGGAAAUCUUAUGAGUAUGAUGGGCAAGUAGUGUUUCUAUGGAGUAUGUAUACCUGAAUAAAUAAAAUUAUUUGAUCUUA